rnacentral:rRNA from 1 species
GACGAACGCUGGCGGCGUGCUUAACACAUGCAAGUCGAACGGUAAGGCCCUUUCGGGGGUACACGAGUGGCGAACGGGUGAGUAACACGUGGGUGAUCUGCCCUGCACUUUGGGAUAAGCCUGGGAAACUGGGUCUAAUACCGGAUAGGACUACGCGAUGCAUGUCGUGUGGUGGAAAGCUUUUGCGGUGUGGGAUGGGCCCGCGGCCUAUCAGCUUGUUGGUGGGGUGAUGGCCUACCAAGGCGACGACGGGUAGCCGGCCUGAGAGGGUGUCCGACCACACUGGGACUGAGAUACGGCCCAGACUCCUACGGGAGGCAGCAGUGGGGAAUAUUGCACAAUGGGCGCAAGCCUGAUGCAGCGACGCCGCGUGGGGGAUGACGGCCUUCGGGUUGUAAACCCCUUUCAGCACAGACGAAGCGUAAGUGACGGUAUGUGCAGAAGAAGCACCGGCCAACUACGUG